rnacentral:rRNA from 1 species
UGAAGGAAUUCGGCAAAUAUAUUUUCUGCCUGUUUAAUAAAAACAUGGCUUUUUGAGAAUAAUUUAAGGUCUGGCCUGCCCAAUGAUUUAAUUAAAUGGCCGCGGUACUUUGACCGUGCAAAGGUAGCAUAAUCAUUAGUUUUUUAAUUGAAAGCUGGAAUGAACGGUCUUACAAGAAAAUUUCUGUCUCAAUUAUAUUUAUAGAAUUUUAUAUUUAAGUCAGAAAGCUUAAAUUUUUUUAAGGGACGAGAAGACCCUAUAGAAUUUGAUAAUUUUUUUUUAAUAAGAUUUUUAGGUUUUUAUUUUUUAUUAAAAAAUAAUUAUUUUGUUGGGGUGAUAGAAAAAUUUAAAUAACUUUUUUUAAGUUUAUUCACUAAUUUGUGAUUAAAUGAUCCAAUAUUUUUGAUUAAAAGAUUAAAUUACCUUAGGGAUAACAGCGUAAUUGGUUUGGAGAGUUCUUAUUGAUAAACUAGUUUGCGACCUCGAUGUUGGAUUAAAAUAAACUUUUGGUGUAGGGGCUAAAAAGUUAAGUCUGUUCGACUUUUAAAAUUUUACAUGAUCUGAGUUUAAACCGGCGUGAGCCAGGUUGGUUUCUAUCUUU